rnacentral:lncRNA from 1 species
AAAAGGGAAAAUAAAAAAAAAAAGCAAUGAUAUUAUUUAUAUCCACAAAAAGGAUAGAGAUUAGUAAAGUAUGUGUAAUAUAGAUUGAAGUAAUUACUUGUGUAGAAUCCACCAUGCAAUUGUUGUGAUUUAGAUGGAACGAAUUAUUUGUCUUAUAAGUUAUGUUAUUAGAGAAUAGUAUUUUUAAUAUUUUACAUGUUCAAGUAAAUAUAUUUUUUUUAAUAAUGGUCGCGUUAUCUAAAAUAAUAUGUCAAAAGUUAAACAUAAAAAAAAUCAUAUUUAACUUAAUUAAAUACUUCUC